UACGUAGGGUGCAAGCGUUGCCCGGAUUUAUUGGGCGUAAAGAGCUCGUAGGCGGCUUGUCGCGUCGACCGUGAAAACUCGCAGCUCAACUGCGAGCCUGCGGUCGAUACGGGCAGGCUAGAGUUCGGUAGGGGAGACUGGAAUUCCUGGUGUAGCGGUGAAAUGCGCAGAUAUCAGGAGGAACACCGAUGGCGAAGGCAGGUCUCUGGGCAUUAACUGACGCUGAGGAGCGAAAGCAUGGGGAGCGAACAGG
rnacentral:rRNA from 1 species